AUUGAACGCUGGCGGCAGGCCUAACACAUGCAAGUCGAGCGGAUGAAGGGAGCUUGCUCCUGGAUUCAGCGGCGGACGGGUGAGUAAUGCCUAGGAAUCUGCCUGGUAGUGGGGGAUAACGUCCGGAAACGGGCGCUAAUACCGCAUACGUCCUGAGGGAGAAAGUGGGGGAUCUUCGGACCUCACGCUAUCAGAUGAGCCUAGGUCGGAUUAGCUAGUUGGUGGGGUAAAGGCCUACCAAGGCGACGAUCCGUAACUGGUCUGAGAGGAUGAUCAGUCACACUGGAACUGAGACACGGUCCAGACUCCGACGGGAGGCAGCAGUGGGGAAUAUUGGACAAGGGGCGAAAGCCUGAUCCAGCCAUGCCGCGUGUGUGAAGAAGGUCUGCGGAUUGUAAAGCACUUUAAGUUGGGAGGAAGGGCAGUAAGUUAAUACCUUGCUGUUUGGACGUUACCAACAGAAUAAGCACCGGCUAACUUCGG
rnacentral:rRNA from 1 species